rnacentral:rRNA from 1 species
GACGAACGCUGGCGGCGCGCUUAACACAUGCAAGUCGAGCGAUAACCAUGGCUUCGGCCAUGGGGAGAGCGGCGAACGGGUGAGUAACACGUGAGUGAUCUGCCCUCGACACCGGGAUAGCCCGGGGAAACCCGGAUUAAUACCGGAUGGCCUUUCGAGCCCACGGGCUCGUCAGAAAAGAUGGCUUCGGCUUUCGGUCGAGGAGGAGCUUGCGGCGGAUUAGCGUGUUGGUGGGGUAACGGCUCACCAAGGCGACGAUCCGUAGCUGGUCUGAACGGGCGAUCAGCCACACUGGGACUGAGACUCGGCCCAGACUCCUACGGGAGGGAGAAGUGGGCAAUCUUGCGCAAUGGGCAAAAGCCUGACGCAGCGAGGCCGCGUGAGGGAAGAAGGCCUUCGGGUUGUAAACCUCUUUCAGGAGGGACGAAGCCACUCGGGUUAAUAGCCCAGAGGGUGACGGUACCUCCAGGAGAAGCCCCGGCUAACUACGUGCCAGCAGCCGCGGUAAGAC